rnacentral:misc_RNA from 1 species
AGGUUUGAGUCAAUGGGCUACACAGAGCACCAAUAAAAAUUAUCAGACAGGGACUAAGUAAUAAUCAUAUUAUUAACAAUGACUAAUGUCGCACGUAGAAAAUACAUUUUCGGAUGUCAGUUUUUAAGAAUUAUGCAUUACCAUUAUCAAACGCAAAAUAAUAACUCAUAUCCUUUAAGCAUAAAUGCAUUUAUACACUGGUCAUCAAUUUUCACUUCCAGUUUCAUACCUCCAUUACAGCUAAAAAAUUACUUAAAAAAGUAUUUCUAGUCCAAUUAUUUUAAAGCAUACAAUCUGAUCUGAUGAGUUUGAUGCGGUGAUACUAAGAUCAUUUUUAUAACUAUGAAGUCUGAAACUUUCAUUAUCCAGAUCAAAGAUCAUGUUAGUUUAAAGCACCGAAACUUAAUUUGGGCCAAACAGGCCAUGCUAGAACAGAACAUAGAUAUGAAAAGCAAGAGAUCGAAGCUGUGAUA